CCGGCGACCGGCGCACGGGUGAGUAACACGUAUGCAACCUGCCCGUGGCAGGGGGAUAAGCGGGGGAAACCCCGUCUAAUACCGCGUAACGCGGCCUUGGGGCAUCCCAAGGCCGCCAAAGGGAGCAAUCCCGGCCACGGAUGGGCAUGCGGCGCAUUAGCUAGUCGGCGGGGUAACGGCCCACCGAGGCGACGAUGCGUAGGGGUUCUGAGAGGAAGGCCCCCCACACUGGUACUGAGACACGGACCAGACUCCUACGGGAGGCAGCAG
rnacentral:rRNA from 1 species